UCUAGCGGAGAACAACUUCUUGGGCCCGAUUUCGCCGGGUUUCGCCAAUUUGACCAAGUUAGGAACUCUCUAUUUGCAGAAAAACCGCUUCUCCGGCCCGAUCCCCCCCUUAGAUCUGCCUGCCCUAGUUCAAUUCGACGUUUCCAGCAAUAACCUAACCGGCUCAAUCCCCAAUUCCCUUUCGAAAAACCCUAAAUCCUCCUUCCUCAGCAAUUCGCUCUGCGGCGAGCCUCUCAAUUCGUGCGGAAACGCUAAUCCGAAGAAGAAGAAGCUCUCCGCCGGAGCGAUUGCCGGCAUUGUGAUCGCCUCCGUCGUCGCGGUUUUCGUUGACCGUUAAAUUUUAACAGUUCCCAUUUCUGACUAAAUGUGAUCCGAUUUCAAAUGUGAGGGACCGAAUAAUUCAAAAGAUAAUGUUUUGGACCAAAAUAAAAAAAAUUGCCAUAUGUUUAGGACCAAAAGGACCUUUACUCUUGAAUAUUUUCCAUGGUGUUCAAGGUGCUUACAGGGAGUCUGCAGCCAAGAAAGCUUAUCCAAACUGUGGGGAUAUAUACCAUUGGUACUAUGUGAACAAUUUGACAGAACUUUUCGAGUGGCUAAAAUGGCCUUGGACUCCUCAAAAAGAUCAACUGCUCUUUCAGUAUAUCUCGUAGCAUGGUGAAGUCAGAUGAAGCUCUGUCUCUAAGUGCACAGGUUUGAAUAGGAGUGGGGAGAGCUAUAGGCUGAGGUGUGUGAAUUACUUGAGGCCUGGCCUUAAAAAGGGGCUGUUAACACCUCAAGAAGAAGGUAUCAUUAUCGAACUUCACGCCCUUUGGUGAAAUAAAUUCUAAGCCUCGAAUAUA